UCAAGUGACCAUCUUCAGCCUUUAUUCUAAAAUAGAAGGUUAUUCUUUACAAACAUUCCAAAUCAUUAAAAAUAUACAGUUCAAUUCAAAAAUUAACAACAGAGAUAAUUAUAAUACAAAAAAUUAGUCAAAGAAAAAAGGAUUAAAAUAGAUUAUACAAGAACAUCUUUAAGAUGGCAAUUUUACUAAGAUUAACAUAAUAAAUAUUAAAAAGUCUUAAGAAAUAGCAUAUUCUGAGUUCCAUGUCUUCUUGGUGCGGUGCAUGUUCCCAGAUAUCUGAUAGAGUACAGAGAUGUAUAUGAAAAGGAACAAGAGAAAAGCCUCUUGCAAGGUUGUCAUGCCAUCUGGAGGCACCAAAUCCAUGAUUAGGGCAAGUCUUCUGGAAGAAUAUCAUUUAUUAUUUUGCAAGUUUUCUUCUCAUUUGUAUUUCAAAUGCCUCUGUGGUUCUCACAUCAGAAAUAUUAGAAACAGAUCUAACCAUUCUAGCCUUUUACCAUAAUAUCUAUAGAUCAUAUUCAUAAUAUGUAGAAAUGAGGACUGGUAAGUCUUUCUUGAUGUAUAUCAUCUUUAUGCUCCUUAAAUCUCUCUCUCAAAUUCUUAGCUGUCUUCACUGUAUAAUUUUCUGCACAGACAAGUUAUAAACCUUUUCUUUGCAAUUUUGUUUCUUGUGAGAAUAAAUAUUUUUCUGCUGAUGAGCCUGUAUAUUUUUAAUAACUUAAGUUUAAGCAGAAAGUGUUUUCUCUUUUUAACUACUAUUGAUAUAUUAACC
rnacentral:lncRNA from 1 species